CUUAUUUUUGACUCCGCCCCCAAACCCUCUCUUCUUUUCUCUUUUAGUUGUCCGGAAGUGUUACGCCUUUAAUGAAAAGCUUUGUGAGUGUAUCCUUUGCAAGUAACAAGUUAUUUGACACCUUUCUGUGUUUAUUUCUUUAGCAACUUGCCAAAGAUAUAUUGGAUAGAAGAUAGAAGACAUUCCUGACAGUUCAAAUCUUUCUGCUAUGUGUUUCUAAACUCUUGAAGUCUUCACCUGUGGAUUAAGUGGAACACUGCAGUUGAAUUUGUUGUGUAGAAUCACUACAGAUAAGAUUCAUGACCAAAUUUGCUUCAUUUUUUAAUACUCCCUGCUACAUGACUUUCCGGUGACAAAAGUGAGAAAAAAUGAGUGAGCCAGAUCGUAAAAGGAGAAAGUACCGGACUGAACAUAAUGCAAAUCCUGGACCUGGACCACCUGUGCUUGGUGAGAUGAACUGUGAUGAUGCUACUCAUGAGCAGUUGGAUGAACAAAAUGAGUGGAAACGAUUCAAUCUUAGUGUUGAAAACCUCAAUGACUGUUUGGUUACUCGGUGUGUUUGCCCCUGGAAUUUUGAUGACUAUCAAAACAUUGUCAUUUGCUCAGGAAACAAGUGCUCUGAAAUAGAUAACCAAAGUGAAAUACUCCUCUUUUGCUCUAUAAUCCAACUAUUAUGUGAAGAAAUUGCUAGACAGAAUAAUGCUAUCACAAGAAGCGGUAGAUUUUGCCUAACUCUCAAGAGAUUGAGAGUUCUCCUAUUUCACCUCAAUAGUGUUUCCGAUCCCACAUGUCUUCUUCAAUGUUUUCUGCGCUCUUCAAACCAAUUUAUAAGUUUUGCAGCUGCCAGAUCCUUGUCAGCUUGGCUAAAAGCAGCUGACGAAGGGGCAUGUAAAGUCCUUUUGGAUCGUCUACUUGAUAAUAUAAUCAGUCCUUUAGCCACCUCGCUGAGCACCCUCAACACUUCCGGGGCACACGGCCCUCUACCUCACACUGUGUCCAAUUUACUAGAUAUUUUAAAAAGUUGUAUUGAAGCGCCAGAUGUUGAACCUCAUCCUACUGAAGGUGCUACUGAAGAUGAGAGCGAAGAUGCUUCCUUUGAGUCCAACGAACGAACAAUGAGUGUUAAGUUCAUUUGUCAUGGAUUGCUGAACAUGGAAGAAGCUUCUGAAGACUCAUUGGGAGCCGAUCAAGUCGACCUAGAUUGCCCGGAUUCAGAAUCAAAGGAUUUAAAGGGCAGCGUUAUUCGUGCUCUGGGCAAACACUGGAAUGUUAUUGUGACCUAUUUUCAUGCAGCUUUAACUCUUGCGCAGUCUGCUACCAGUUUACAUUCCGAAGAUAUUUUUCCUUUGGUUUCCUUUUUAUCGCUGUGGCAGUCGACAAUAUCCGUUAAAGCCAAUGUAUCCGUAUUGGACUCGAAGCCGUUCUAUUCGCGAAUGGAAGCACUAUUGCCGAUCAUGACGCCUUCACUAGACCCUAUCAUCUGGCGGGAAAUGAUAAAUCUUUUCAAUGAAGUUCUCUGCUACGGUUCCACACUUGCCCUUCAGGAUUUUUUGCCAGACGAGCCUUGCAAUCUGGCGCACUUGGUUAUCCGUCAUGUACGAGUUGAGAGAUUACUGGAUCGAGCCCCUUUCCAAUCAGGACAGAAUUGUACAUCUAGCCGAUCUUUGAUGCAAAAGCUCGUACUUUUGGUUCUUAAAGCCGUUGCUGUUACUGUGAAGGAAACAAGAUCUGAGAGUUCAAGCCUUGAAUCUGAAUCGAAUUCAGAGUCAGGUCAUUCUGACCCUCUACGCUCCGAGGAUUCGGAAGACCUACAUGCCGACAUGACUGUAAUCCUUCGCAGCAUCAAACAAGUAUUUCGCAUCGUGGAUGUCAGAAUCAAAACCUGGCUGCCUUUCCACCCUGAAACGACGUUAAGCGAAUGGAUGGUGAAAAUGUUUCACGAUCAAGACGAUUCCCUUAUUGAAACAAUGUUAUGCAGUUUAGAUAUUAACAACGGCUUGUAUAGCAAUUGUCGUGGGCUUAAUGCUACGUCUAACUCUCUUCAAACAGGAUUAUCGGAUUUGAAAGGGACGCUCAAUCCUGUGCAGACAUGGUUGAAAUUCUUGGAAACUGUAGCAUACGAUACGGACGUUUUGUUGGAUUUACUGGUCUCCAACGAAACGUGCUUUCUAUUAUACCUCUUGCGUCUUCUUAAGUUCAUUCGUAGGAACUGGGAAGAUUUUCUUUCAGUUUUAACCCAUCGUCAACUAGAAGAUGUCAUGACCUGUUUCAUUCGUUUGCGGAUAGCCAUCCGUCGAUUAGUUGCCAAGAAUCUUUUCCCUUACAACAUUGGACCAAUUGUGAAAUUACUUGAAAAAUGUGAAGAGCUCUACGAAGGAAAAGAAAACUAGUGCGACAACAAACUUUUUACAAACCUGAAGUGUUACUACAUACGAAGAGAUGAGCAGAUUGCUAGGAUUCCUGGCUACUUCGCCUUGUUUUAUUGAGUGGCAGGGAAUUACAUGGGCUGCUUUAUACACACAUGUUGUUCCGUGUAUGGUUGUUGUUAAACCAUAUGGUAUUCAUCUUUGAAAUACGUUGUAUUCUCCUUAAUUUUGUCAUUUGUAAAUAGAAAGUGGUUUUCGAAAGCUACUAACAGAAACUGUUCUGGUUUCCACCCUUCACUAUGGAUUUUCCGAGAAUUUUUUAUUUAAAAAUACAAUUCUAAAUUUAAUUUUAA
rnacentral:misc_RNA from 1 species